rnacentral:rRNA from 1 species
UCCUCCCUCUGGCGGCGUGCUUAACACAUGCAAGUCGUACGGGGAACGAGGGAGGUUGCUCCCACCGGAUCAGUAGCGAACAGGAGCGUAACACGUACGCAAUCUGCCCCGAACUCUAGGAUACGCGAUGGAAACGACGUCUAAUACCGGAUACGACGCACGCGGGCAUACUCUCCGCGUGGAAAGAACUUCGGUUCGGGAUGAGCUCGCGGCCUAUCAGCUUGUUGGUGAGGUAACGGCUCACCAAGGCGACGACGGGUAGCCGGCCUGAGAGGGUGACCGGGCACACUGGGACAGAGACACGGGCCAGACUCCUACGGGAGGGAGCAGUGGGGAAUAUUGCACAAUGGGCGCGAGCCUGAUGCAGCAACGCCGCGUGAGGGACGACGGCCUUCGGGUUGUGUACCGCUUUUAGCAGGGAAGAAGCGAAAGUGACGGUACCUGCAGAAAAAGCACCGGCUAACUACGUG